GACCUUCUCUGAGGACUAGUGCUUGGGUUCUUGUCCUUCAGCAUUUCUGAUGAAAUAAGUAGGUUAAUUUUCAGCAGAAGUUCCCUGAGCUAACUGGCUGCAUAGUUUCCUGACUGCUCAUACUCAGAAGAGGCACACUAAGAUCUCUCAUCUGAGCAAGUACAGAGCUGCAUCUUCAGUCACAGCAGGCAUUCAGGUGAAUUGGAAGAUAAAUGGGUUAUAUAAGUUUGUGAAAGCCACAAGAGUUAAGGAACUUUUC